UGCUGCCGUCCGACCGCCCCACCCUACCCACGCGCCUCCGUCGCGAACCCCACCACAUCCCUCAAUCGCACACCGACGCCCUCUCCCUCCGCUCCGGCCGCCGCCUUCUCCCCGUGCUCCGGCUUGCAACAACGGCCUUCUCUCUCUCCCAGCGCUCCGGCCUUCUCUCUCCCAGCGCUCCGGCCUUCUCUCUCCCGCGCUCCGGCCCUCUCUCUCCUAGCACUCCGGCCCUCUCCCUUCCCGCGCUCCGGCCUCCUCCCUCUCCCGAGCUCCGGCCUCCUCCCUCUCCCGAGCUCCGGCCUCCUCCCUCCCCGCGCUCCAGCGUCCUCCCUCCCCGCGCUCCCGCCUCCUCGCACUCCUCGGUCUAUUCGCCUUGCUCCUGUGGUCCGGUCGCCUUCGUCACCGCGCUCCAUCCGCCUUUCUCCUCGAGGUUCGGCCGCCUCCCCCUUUCCCCGAGGCCCCACGGCUGCGUCGCCGCCGCCCAACCGAUCGGUCCACAAGCUAGGGAUCUGGGCCGCCCUCCUCGCCGUGGUGGCCCUGCUGGCCGUUGGUGACAGAAGCGGGGUGGAGGUUUUUAAAGCUUGUCUGUGCCUGCAUGCUGAUCCAUCUACAAGUAGACAACAAUUGCAGGACCUGCGCACAACACUCGGUACCGAGGCAAAAUUCAUAGUUGUAGUUGUCUGCAAUUUACUAUGGCAAAAGGUCAGAAGAUUGUCCUUCCAGCGUGUCGUGGCCACCUCCCCAUAGCACCGCCUCCAUCCAGCGCGCCGCCCCGCUUCCCCACAGCGUGCCGCCGCAGGCGUAACCCUACAUCGCACAUUGAGAAAUGGUGGCGCGCGGGGUGUGAGGCGGCGUCUCCCCACCAUUUUUGUAGGUUGCCACAAAAACAAGAUGCACAAGUUCAUCUUUUGUAUGCUUUUCAGUACAUCUACUUCCCAAUGCUCGAUCCAGGAGGUGCUAGCUCAUGCUGGCUGGAACUAGGAUGCAAAAGGGUUGACGGAUCCAUGCCGCACAAGCACUGCGCCAUGCUCAGUCCAACCACGUGGCUUCAGGGUGGCCGAGUUCGUCGCGACCAUCAGUUCAGAGACCUGCGUCACUGCCCGUGUCGCUACCAUGGCCACCUGUAUCACUGCGUGAUCGGUCAACAACCUCCUGCACAAGGAAAAGCAACAGGAGUAGAGGCAUCUGAGAUGCUCUUUUCUGGCGAGGUGGCUGAUUAUGGUUGUCAGUUUGUAAUACUUUGGCCGCAGUGUACUUAUGUAUCUUUUUCUGGCCGGAGCAUGAUCUGAACUUAUGUCAGUAAGAACUUUGAUUGUGAUGGUACUACAAACUCUAUAAAAACACCAGCAAUCCAUUUUUACCGGUACUUACCUUUUAUUCAAUUCACAUGGAUUGUGCCCCUAUUACCAAUUGUGAUACAAAAAUGCACCAU